rnacentral:rRNA from 1 species
AUUGAACGCUGGCGGCAUGCCUUACACAUGCAAGUCGAACGGCAGCACGGGAGCUUGCUCCUGGUGGCGAGUGGCGAACGGGUGAGUAAUACAUCGGAACGUACCCUGAAGUGGGGGAUAACGUAGCGAAAGUUACGCUAAUACCGCAUAUUCUGUGAGCAGGAAAGAGGGGGAUCGCAAGACCUCUUGCUUUAGGAGCGGCCGAUGUCGGAUUAGCUAGUUGGUGAGGUAAAGGCUCACCAAGGCGACGAUCCGUAGCGGGUCUGAGAGGAUGAUCCGCCACACUGGGACUGAGACACGGCCCAGACUCCUACGGGAGGCAGCAGUGGGGAAUUUUGGACAAUGGGCGCAAGCCUGAUCCAGCCAUGCCGCGUGAGUGAAGAAGGCCUCGGGUUGUAAGGACUCUUUCGUCAAGGAAAGAAACUUAAUACUCCUAAUACGAGGUGAGGUUGACGGUACCUUG